GACGAACGCUGGCGGCGUGCUUAACACAUGCAAGUCGAACGGAAAGGCCCUGCUUUUGUGGGGUGCUCGAGUGGCGAACGGGUGAGUAACACGUGAGUAACCUGCCCUUGACUUUGGGAUAACUUCAGGAAACUGGGGCUAAUACCGGAUAGGAGCUCCUGCUGCAUGGUGGGGGUUGGAAAGUUUCGGCGGUUGGGGAUGGACUCGCGGCUUAUCAGCUUGUUGGUGGGGUAGUGGCUUACCAAGGCUUUGACGGGUGGCCGGCCUGAGAGGGUGACCGGCCACAUUGGGACUGAGAUACGGCCCAGACUCCUACGGGAGGCAACAGUGGGGAAUAUUGCACAAUGGGCGGAAGCCUGAUGCAGCAACGCCGCGUGCGGGAUGACGGCCUUCGGGUUGUAAACCGCUUUCGCCUGUGACGAAGCGUGAGUGACGGUAAUGGGUAAAGAAGCACCGGCUAACUACGU
rnacentral:rRNA from 1 species